UGAGGAAUCUUGCGCAAUGGGGGAAACCCUGACGCAGCAACGCCGCGUGAGUGAGGAAGGCCUUCGGGUCGUAAAGCUCUGUCAGUUGGAAAGAAAUGCUUGAGAGUUAAUACCUUUCAAGCUUGACGGUACCAACAGAGGAAGCACCGGCUAACUCCGUGCCAGCAGCCGCGGUAAUACGGGGGGUGCAAGCGUUGUUCGGAAUUAUUGGGCGUAAAGAGCGUGUAGGCGGCCGGAUAUGUCAGAUGUGAAAUCCCUGGGCUUAACCCAGGAAGGGCAUUUGAAACUGUCCGGCUAGAGUAGGGGAGAGGGAAGUGGAAUUCCUGGUGUAGAGGUGAAAUUCGUAGAUAUCAGGAGGAACACCGGUGGCGAAGGCGACUUCCUGGCCCUAUACUGACGCUGAGACACGAGAGCGUGGGUAGCAAACA
rnacentral:rRNA from 1 species